GACAGAGGUCCCGAGCGUUAGGCGGAAUCACUGGGCUUAAAGCGUGUGUAGGCGGAUCGUUAAGUACCUUGUGAAAUCCCACGGCUUAACCGUGGAACUGCUUGGUAUACUGGCGAUCUUGAGCCACUUAGGGGCUACCGGAACAAAUGGUGGAGCGGUGAAAUGCGUAGAUAUCGGGAAGAACACCCGUGGCGAAGGCGGUUCUCUGGGACGGUACUGACGCUGAGACGCGAAAGCGUGGGGAGCGAACAGG
rnacentral:rRNA from 1 species